UGUAAGCGUAUACCAAAGUUGUUGCAGUUAAAACGCUCGUAGUCGGAAUUUGGCAGUUCCGGAUGUGUGCACGUCGUGUGCGCACUUCGCGGGGAUUGCUUUUGUGGUCUUGCGUAGGAUGAGGCACUUUUAUUAGUGAACGUCCUCACGCAACCACUUUUUACUGUGAGAAAAUCAGAGUGCUCAAAGCAGGCAUUUGCCGUGAAUGUAUUAGCAUGGAAUAAUAGAAUAGGACUUGGUUCUAUUUUGUUGGUUUGCUGGGACUGAGUAAUGAUUAAGAGGGACAGUUGGGGGCAUUUGUAUUUCGGUGCUAGAGGUGAAAUUCUUAGAUUGCCGAAAGACAAACUGCUGCGAAAGCGUCUGCCAAGGAUGUUUUCAUUGA
rnacentral:rRNA from 1 species